rnacentral:rRNA from 1 species
AUUGAACGCUGGCGGCAGGCCUAACACAUGCAAGUCGAGCGGAUGAAGGGAGCUUGCUCCCGGAUUCAGCGGCGGACGGGUGAGUAAUGCCUAGGAAUCUGCCUGGUAGUGGGGGACAACGUUUCGAAAGGAACGCUAAUACCGCAUACGUCCUACGGGAGAAAGCAGGGGACCUUCGGGCCUUGCGCUAUCAGAUGAGCCUAGGUCGGAUUAGCUAGUUGGUGAGGUAAUGGCUCACCAAGGCGACGAUCCGUAACUGGUCUGAGAGGAUGAUCAGUCACACUGGAACUGAGACACGGUCCAGACUCCUACGGGAGGCAGCAGUGGGGAAUAUUGGACAAUGGGCGAAAGCCUGAUCCAGCCAUGCCGCGUGUGUGAAGAAGGUCUUCGGAUUGUAAAGCACUUUAAGUUGGGAGGAAGGGCAUUAACCUAAUACGUUAGUGUUUUGACGUUACCGACAGAAUAAGCACCGGCUAACUCUGUGCCAGCAGCCGCGGUAAU